rnacentral:rRNA from 1 species
AACGUAGGAGGCGAGCGUUAUCCGGAGUUACUGGGCGUAAAGCGUGCGCAGGCGGUUCUGUAAGUGGCUUGUGAAAGCGCCCGGCUAAACCGGGCGAGGACAGGUCAGGCUGCAGGGCUGGGAUGGAACAGAGGGCUGUGGAAUUCCGGGUGUAGCGGUGAAAUGUGCAGAGAUCCGGAGGAACACCAGAGGUGAAGACGGCGGCCUGGGUUCCAAUCGACGCUGAGGCACGAAAGCGUGGGGAGCGAACGGG